AAUGUUUGUUCUGUUAUUGUUUAGAAGUCGGAGUUUUCCACGAAAUAGACACGUUAAUUCUCAGACCUCCUGGAACAUGAUCAAUCCUAAGGCAGGAAAUAAAGACUAAGGACAUGGGGCUUAGGUUGAAGUGUGGGGGAGAUAACUGCCUCCUUGAUCUGAACCUCAAGGAUUUGUAGAAUGAAGUAUCUUCCCACUGCGGGGAGGCAGGCUGGCCGUUCCUCCAUGGCAGCAGUAGAGAGCAAUGUAGAAGUCAAACCCAGAGACUGGGGAAUCUGGGCAAAGAUUACAGAUUGCCAGAACUGGAGAGAUGUUCCUACUCUUGACCCAAUAAUCCUACUCUUGGGAUUUUAUCAUAAGAAAAUAAUUCAGCAACAACAAAAAGCCAAGUGCGUAAAGGUAUUUAUGACAGCAUCAUCUGAGGCAGCAGAAAAAUGGAAACAGCUCACGUGUCUACCAAUAAGGGACAGGCUGACUAAUUUUUGGUAUGGAUAUUCUGUAACCAUAAAAAUGAUCACUGUGAAGAUUAGGUACCAAAUACAGAAAACACA
rnacentral:lncRNA from 1 species